UACGUAGGUGGCAAGCGUUGUCCGGAUUUACUGGGCGUAAAGAGCGCGCAGGCGGUCGUUCAAGUCGCGUGUGAAAGCCCCCGGCUCAACUGGGGAGGGUCACGCGAUACUGAUCGACUCGAAGGCAGGAGAGGGAAGUGGAAUUCCCGGUGUAGUGGUGAAAUGCGUAGAUAUCGGGAGGAACACCAGUGGCGAAGGCGACUUCCUGGUCUGUUCUUGACGCUGAGGCGCGAAAGCUAGGGGAGCAAACGGG
rnacentral:rRNA from 1 species